GAUGAACGCUGGCGGCGUGCCUAAUACAUGCAAGUCGAGCGAACAGACGAGGAGCUUGCUCCUCUGACGUUAGCGGCGGACGGGUGAGUAACACGUGGAUAACCUACCUAUAAGACUGGGAUAACUUCGGGAAACCGGAGCUAAUACCGGAUAAUAUAUUGAACCGCAUGGUUCAAUAGUGAAAGACGGUUUUGCUGUCACUUAUAGAUGGAUCCGCGCCGCAUUAGCUAGUUGGUAAGGUAACGGCUUACCAAGGCGACGAUGCGUAGCCGACCUGAGAGGGUGAUAGGCCACACUGGAACUGAGACACGGACCAGACUCCUACGGGAGGCAGCAGUAGGGAAUCUUCCGCAAUGGGCGAAAGCCUGACGGAGCAACGCCGCGUGAGUGAUGAAGGUCUUCGGAUCGUAAAACUCUGUUAUUAGGGAAGAACAAAUGUGUAAGUGACUAUGCACGUCUUGACGGUACCUAAUCAGAAAGCCACGGCUAACUACGUG
rnacentral:rRNA from 1 species